rnacentral:tRNA from 1 species
GGGAGUAUAGCCCAGUGGUAGAGCACGUGCUUAGCGAGCAUGAGGUCCUGGGUUUAACCCCCAGUGCCUCCA